rnacentral:rRNA from 1 species
UACGAGGGGUGCAAGCGUUGCUCGGAAUUAUUGGGCGUAAAGGGUAGGUAGGUGGUUUCGUUUGUCUGGGGUGAAAGCCUUGAGCUUAACUCAAGAAGUGCCCCGGAAACGGCGAAACUCGAGUACUGGAGAGGGUCGUGGAAUUCCCGGUGUAGCGGUGAAAUGCGUAGAGAUCGGGAGGAACACCGGUGGCGAAGGCGGUUCUCUGGGCCUGACCUGACGCUGAGGAGCGAAAGCGUGGGGAGCGAACAGG